rnacentral:rRNA from 1 species
UCGACCGGCGCACGGGUGCGUAACGCGUAUGCAACCUACCUUUAACAGGGGGAUAACACUGAGAAAUUGGUACUAAUACCCCAUAAUAUCAUAGAAGGCAUCUUUUAUGGUUGAAAAUUCCGAUGGUUAGAGAUGGGCAUGCGUUGUAUUAGCUAGUUGGUGGGGUAACGGCUCACCAAGGCGACGAUACAUAGGGGGACUGAGAGGUUAACCCCCCACACUGGUACUGAGACACGGACCAG